GCAGAUGUGGCGGAAUUGGCAGACGCGCUAGAUUCAGGUUCUAGUGAAAGCUUUUUUCAUAUGGGUUCAAGUCCCUUCAUCUGCACCA
rnacentral:tRNA from 1 species